AGUGAACGCUGGCGGUAGGCCUAACACAUGCAAGUCGAACGGCAGCACAGUAAGAGCUUGCUCUUACGGGUGGCGAGUGGCGGACGGGUGAGGAAUACAUCGGAAUCUACUUUUUCGUGGGGGAUAACGUAGGGAAACUUACGCUAAUACCGCAUACGACCUACGGGUGAAAGCAGGGGAUCUUCGGACCUUGCGCGAUUGAAUGAGCUGAUGUCGGAUUAGCUAGUUGGCGGGGUAAAGGCCCACCAAGGCGACGAUCGGUAGCUGGUCUGAGAGGAUGAUCAGCCACACUGGAACUGAGACACGGUCCAGACUCCUACGGGAGGCAGCAGUGGGGAAUAUUGGACAAUGGGCGCAAGCCUGAUCCAGCCAUACCGCGUGGGUGAAGAAGGCCUUCGGGUUGUAAAGCCCUUUUGUUGGGAAAGAAAAGCAGCAGGUUAAUACCCCGCUGUUCUGACGGUACCCAAAGAAUAAGCACCGGCUAACUUCGUG
rnacentral:rRNA from 1 species